rnacentral:misc_RNA from 1 species
CGACAGCAUCUCCUCCACGUCUCUUCAGUUGUUGGCGCGGGCAUGUGCUCGCCCGAUGUUGGUUUUCCUGUGCUGAAUACCUAUCKUGAAGGCAUUCUCUCGGCUAYGWUUGUCCCUUUCCCGCCUUGUGCUGCUGCUCCCCGUGGGCGAGCGGUGCGGGGUGGGCCAAAUCGCGCACGUCGUGUAUCGCACCGCGUUCACCCCCWCGGGCGUUCGGGUUGACGACCCACGACGUGAUGCUCGGUCUCUCGGAUACGGAACAUCACGUGGGUACGAGGCCAUCGGCCUCCGAGCACCACAAACAAGCGUUCUACGCUUCGUGCGAACGACUGUCGGUUCGGCCUUUGKCCGUGCUCUCGCAGCUCGGUUCAAGUCGUGCCGACGUCGGUG